CCUACCCUAACUUACUUGGGACGAAAAGGCUUUGCUGCUGUUUUAUUGAGAUGACAUUAACUUUGGUUCUGCGGGAUCUUAUAGACUACUACAAUUCUUCCACCAUAAUAGAUUGGACUGGAAGGGCUACAACCUUCAAAGCAACAACAGGUAUUGCAGAUGGUUUGGCAUCAACGCUAUACAAUUCUGCCCCCCAGGUUGCGAUGUUCUCUUCUCGAUGACCCGAUGUUAAAGAUUUUAGCUUUCAAGAUGUUGAUGUCCUUAAACUUAAACCAGACAUACUUGCUCCUGGCAAUCUCAUAUGGGCUGCAUGGGCGCCUAAUGGAACGGAUGAAUCAAACUAUGCUGGUGAAGGAUUUGCAAUGGUUUCUGGAACUAGCAUGGCCACACCGCAUAUCGCUGGCAUUGCAGCACUAAUAAAGCAGAAGAACCCAAAGUGGAGCCCCUCAGCAAUAAAAUUUGCCAUGAUGACAACGGCCAAUACACUGGACAAAGGGAGCCAUCCUCUCAGAGCACAGCAGUACACUGCAUCGGAAAUGAUGACACUUUCUCGGGCCACACCGUUUGAUUGUGGUAGUGGCGCUGUUAACCCAAAAGCUGCCCUUUAACAGUUAUAAUUACCCAGAGACACUGUGCCGGAUGUAUAUAAUUAAUGCUGGCCAAGGCUUCAAGAUGUUAUGGAGCACAAUAAAAUCAUUCCUCGGUCCAAAAACUGCUUCCAAGAUCCAUGUUCUUGGGAAUAAGUAGCAACAUAAGUUGCUCGAAAUAAUUGACGAGUGUGAACUGCCAGAAUUUCUUGGUGGCAAAUGCAAUUGUAUUGAAGGUUGCCAAAGAUCUGACAAAGGUCCUUGGAAGGAUCCCAACAUAAUAAAGAGUCCUCAAUGACGAGGCAAACUACGACAGACAAAUUGUGACCAUAUCCAGCAUUGAUGGAAAAAUAAUACGUUAUGCUAGGCCAGAUCACUCAACUAGAAAAGUGAGUGAUGCAUCUGCCGAGUCUGGAUCUGAAGUGGAAGAUGUAACAUCUCCUACUGCAUCAAGGAACCUGAUUACACAUCCUAUUUUGACCCAUGUUCACGAGGAG